rnacentral:tRNA from 3 species
GAGAGAGGCUUGCUAGCAACGAAGACUGCUAACCCUCGUGCCCUCGGUUGAAUUCCGAAGCUCCCUCG